AGAGUUUGAUCAUGGCUCAGAACGAACGCUGGCGGCGUGCUUAACACAUGCAAGUCGAACGAGAAAGUUCCCUUCGGGGAGCGAGUAGAGUGGCGCACGGGUGAGUAACACGUGGAUAAUCUACCUGAUGGUCUGGGAUAACAUCUCGAAAGGGGUGCUAAUACCGGAUAAGCCCACAGUCUCUGCGGAGACAGCGGGAAAAGAGGGCUUCGGCUCUUGCGAUCAGAUGAGUCCGCGUUCCAUUAGCUAGUUGGUGGGGUAAUGGCCUACCAAGGCUGCGAUGGAUAGCUGGUUUGAGAGAAUGAUCAGCCACACUGGAACUGAGACACGGUCCAGACUCCUACGGGAGGCAGCAGUGGGGAAUUUUGCGCAAUGGGGGCAACCCUGACGCAGCAACGCCGCGUGAGUGAUGAAGGUUUUCGGAUCGUAAAGCUCUGUCAAGAGGGAAGAAACCUCUGUCGGUUAAUACCCGGCAGAAUUGACGGUACCUCUAGAGGAAGCACCGGCUAACUCCGUGCCAGCAGCCGCGGUAAUACGGAGGGUGCAAGCGUUGUUCGGAAUUAUUGGGCGUAAAGCGCGUGUAGGCGGUUACCUAAGUCUGAUGUGAAAGCCCGGGGCUCAACCCCGGAAGUGCAUUGGAUACUGGCAGACUUGAGUAUGGGAGAGGGAAGUGGA
rnacentral:rRNA from 1 species